AUGUUUCGUCAAAAAAUAGAAAAAAAUAUUAUCUUCUGAUUUGUCGAUCAUAUAAAUAUCCAUGUUACAACGAAGACUACAUCAGAAAACUGUAAGGUAUAUAAAAAGAUCGAAAAAGAUCAUAACGUUCGUUUAAAAUGAGAACACUGUUUGUAAUUCUGGCCAUUUGCUUCGCAAUGAUUCCAUUAAUCAUGGGUUGCAAACCACCCGGUUUACUAUGCUCCGACGACAAAGACUGCUGUGCACCGUUAGUAUGCAACCCAUGGGCUGGACGAUGCACCAAGAAAAUGAGUCCACCGCCAGGCUGGGGAAAUCAGCUAGAAGACCCAGCCGCGUCACCUGUCCAGGCCCAAUGAAUCAACGAUGGAUCGAUAUCAAUGUUAUCUCGUAGCCCUAGAAAUCUAGUUAGAUAUUCGUUAAAUUGAAAUCUUAAAACUUUUUUUAUGUACAUAUAUUUAUAUAUGUACGUUUUAUUAUAAUGAUAUUAUAUCUAACAUAAUAUCUAUUGACUAAAAA